UACGUAGGGUGCAAGCGUUAAUCGGAAUUACUGGGCGUAAAGCGUGCGCAGGCGGUUCGCUAAGGCAGAUGUGAAAUCCCCGGGCUUAACCUGGGAACUGCAUUUGUGACUGGCGGGCUAGAGUAUGGCAGAGGGGGGUAGAAUUCCACGUGUAGCAGUGAAAUGCGUAGAGAUGUGGAGGAAUACCGAUGGCGAAGGCAGGUCUCUGGGCCACUACUGACGCUGAGUGAGCGAAAGCCAGGGGAGCAAACGGG
rnacentral:rRNA from 1 species